GGUUAAGCGACUAAGCGUACACGGUGGAUGCCCUGGCAGUCAGAGGCGAUGAAGGACGUGCUAAUCUGCGAUAAGCGCCGGUAAGGUGAUAUGAACCGUUAUAACCGGCGAUUUCCGAAUGGGGAAACCCAGUGCGACUCGUCACACUAUCAUUAACUGAAUCCAUAGGUUAAUGAGGCGAACCGGGGGAACUGAAACAUCUAAGUACCCCGAGGAAAAGAAAUCAACCGAGAUUCCCCCAGUAGCGGCGAGCGAACGGGGAGGAGCCCAGAGCCUGAAUCAGCAUGUGUGUUAGUGGAAGCGUCUGGAAAGGCGCGCGAUACAGGGUGACAGCCCCGUACACAAAAGCGCAUGUGCUGUGAGCUCGAUGAGUAGGGCGGGACACGUGGUAUCCUGUCUGAAUAUGGGGGGACCAUCCUCCAAGGCUAAAUACUCCUGACUGACCGAUAGUGAACCAGUACCGUGAGGGAAAGGCGAAAAGAACCCCGGCGAGGGGAGUGAAAAAGAACCUGAAACCGUGUACGUACAAGCAGUGGGAGCACCCUUCGGGGUGUGACUGCGUACCUUUUGUAUAAUGGGUCAGCGACUUAUAUUCUGUAGCAAGGUUAACCGAAUAGGGGAGCCGGAGGGAAACCGAGUCUUAAUUGGGCGUUAAGUUGCAGGGUAUAGACCCGAAACCCGGUGAUCUAGCCAUGGGCAGGUUGAAGGUUGGGUAACACUAACUGGAGGACCGAACCGACUAAUGUUGAAAAAUUAGCGGAUGACCUGUGGCUGGGGGUGAAAGGCCAAUCAAACCGGGAGAUAGCUGGUUCUCCCCGAAAGCUAUUUAGGUAGCGCCUCGUGAAUUCAUCUCCGGGGGUAGAGCACUGUUUCGGCUAGGGGGCCAUCCCGGCUUACCAACCCGAUGCAAACUGCGAAUACCGGAGAAUGUUAUCACGGGAGACACACGGCGGGUGCUAACGUCCGUCGUGAAGAGGGAAACAACCCAGACCGCCAGCUAAGGUCCCAAAGUCAUGGUUAAGUGGGAAACGAUGUGGGAAGGCCCAGACAGCCAGGAUGUUGGCUUAGAAGCAGCCAUCAUUUAAAGAAAGCGUAAUAGCUCACUGGUCGAGUCGGCCUGCGCGGAAGAUGUAACGGGGCUAAACCAUGCACCGAAGCUGCGGCAGCGACACUGUGUGUUGUUGGGUAGGGGAGCGUUCUGUAAGCCUGCGAAGGUGGCCUGUGAGGGUUGCUGGAGGUAUCAGAAGUGCGAAUGCUGACAUAAGUAACGAUAAAGCGGGUGAAAAGCCCGCUCGCCGGAAGACCAAGGGUUCCUGUCCAACGUUAAUCGGGGCAGGGUGAGUCGACCCCUAAGGCGAGGCCGAAAGGCGUAGUCGAUGGGAAACGGGUUAAUAUUCCCGUACUUGGUGUUACUGCGAAGGGGGGACGGAGAAGGCUAUGUUGGCCGGGCGACGGUUGUCCCGGUUUAAGCGUGUAGGUGUGUGUUCCAGGUAAAUCCGGUUCACUUUAACACUGAGGCGUGACGACGAGGCACUACGGUGCUGAAGCAACAAAUGCCCUGCUUCCAGGAAAAGCCUCUAAGCAUCAGGUAACAUCAAAUCGUACCCCAAACCGACACAGGUGGUCAGGUAGAGAAUACCAAGGCGCUUGAGAGAACUCGGGUGAAGGAACUAGGCAAAAUGGUGCCGUAACUUCGGGAGAAGGCACGCUGAUAUGUAGGUGAAGUGAUUUACUCAUGGAGCUGAAGUCAGUCGAAGAUACCAGCUGGCUGCAACUGUUUAUUAAAAACACAGCACUGUGCAAACACGAAAGUGGACGUAUACGGUGUGACGCCUGCCCGGUGCCGGAAGGUUAAUUGAUGGGGUCAGCGCAAGCGAAGCUCCUGAUCGAAGCCCCGGUAAACGGCGGCCGUAACUAUAACGGUCCUAAGGUAGCGAAAUUCCUUGUCGGGUAAGUUCCGACCUGCACGAAUGGCGUAAUGAUGGCCAGGCUGUCUCCACCCGAGACUCAGUGAAAUUGAACUCGCUGUGAAGAUGCAGUGUACCCGCGGCAAGACGGAAAGACCCCGUGAACCUUUACUAUAGCUUGACACUGAACAUUGAGCCUUGAUGUGUAGGAUAGGUGGGAGGCUUUGAAGUGUGGACGCCAGUCUGCAUGGAGCCGACCUUGAAAUACCACCCUUUAAUGUUUGAUGUUCUAACGUGGACCCGUAAUCCGGGUUGCGGACAGUGUCUGGUGGGUAGUUUGACUGGGGCGGUCUCCUCCUAAAGAGUAACGGAGGAGCACGAAGGUUGGCUAAUCCUGGUCGGACAUCAGGAGGUUAGUGCAAUGGCAUAAGCCAGCUUGACUGCGAGCGUGACGGCGCGAGCAGGUGCGAAAGCAGGUCAUAGUGAUCCGGUGGUUCUGAAUGGAAGGGCCAUCGCUCAACGGAUAAAAGGUACUCCGGGGAUAACAGGCUGAUACCGCCCAAGAGUUCAUAUCGACGGCGGUGUUUGGCACCUCGAUGUCGGCUCAUCACAUCCUGGGGCUGAAGUAGGUCCCAAGGGUAUGGCUGUUCGCCAUUUAAAGUGGUACGCGAGCUGGGUUUAGAACGUCGUGAGACAGUUCGGUCCCUAUCUGCCGUGGGCGCUGGAGAACUGAGGGGGGCUGCUCCUAGUACGAGAGGACCGGAGUGGACGCAUCACUGGUGUUCGGGUUGUCAUGCCAAUGGCACUGCCCGGUAGCUAAAUGCGGAAGAGAUAAGUGCUGAAAGCAUCUAAGCACGAAACUUGCCCCGAGAUGAGUUCUCCCUGAGACUUAGAGUCUCCUGAAGGAACGUUGAAGACGACGACGUUGAUAGGCCGGGUGUGUAAGCGCAGCGAUGCGUUGAGCUAACCGGUACUAAUGAACCGUGAGGCUUAACCUU
rnacentral:rRNA from 4 species